rnacentral:rRNA from 1 species
UACGUAGGUGGCAAGCGUUGUCCGGAUUUAUUGGGCGUAAAGCGAGCGCAGGCGGUUUCUUAGGUCUGAUGUGAAAGCCUUCGGCUUAACCGGAGAAGUGCAUCGGAAACCAGGAGACUUGAGUGCAGAAGAGGACAGUGGAACUCCAUGUGUAGCGGUGAAAUGCGUAGAUAUAUGGAAGAACACCAGUGGCGAAGGCGGCUGUCUGGUCUGUAACUGACGCUGAGGCUCGAAAGCAUGGGUAGCGAACAGG